rnacentral:rRNA from 1 species
UACAGAGGGUGCAAGCGUUGUUCGGAAUUAUUGGGCGUAAAGGGAGUGUAGGCUGUUUGUUAAGUCUUCUGUGAAAUCUACGGGCUUACCCUGUAAAGUGCAGAGGAAACUAGCAGACUUGAGUGUCGGAGAGGAUAGGGGAAUUCCCGGUGUAGAGGUGAAAUUCGUAGAGAUCGGGAGGAACACCAGUGGCGAAGGCGCCUAUCUGGCUGACAACUGACGCUGAGACUCGAAAGCAUGGGGAGCAAACGGG